AGGCAGCAGUGGGGAAUCUUGCGCAAUGGGCGAAAGCCUGACGCAGCAACGCCGCGUGCGGGAUGAAGGCCCUCGGGUUGUAAACCGCUUUCAGCAGGGACGAAGAUGACGGUACCUGCAGAAGAAGCCCCGGCCAACUACGUGCCAGCAGCCGCGGUAAUACGUAGGGUGCAAGCGUUGUCCGGAAUUAUUGGGCGUAAAGAGCUCGUAGGCGGUCUGUCGCGUCGAAUGUGAAAACCCGGGGCUCAACCCCGGGCCUGCAUUCGAUACGGGCAGACUAGAGUUCGGUAGGGGAGUCUGGAAUUCCUGGUGUAGCGGUGAAAUGCGCAGAUAUCAGGAGGAACACCGGUGGCGAAGGCGGGACUCUGGGCCGAUACUGACGCUGAGGAGCGAAAGCGUGGGGAGCAAACAGGAUUAGAUACCCUGGUAG
rnacentral:rRNA from 1 species